UGGGGCAACUGGGCGAUCGCGUGUUGUGCAAACAACCCGAGGAACGUCCGGGCUCCGAAGAGCACAGUGGUGGGUAACACCCACUCGGGGUAACCCGCAGGCCAGUGCCACAGAAAAUAGACCGCCUCUGCAUGCAGAGGUAAGGGUGAAACGGCGGUGUAAGAGACCACCGCUUUCCGGGUGACCGGAAAGGCUAAGGUAAACCCCACUGGGAGCAAGGCCAGACAGGGCACGUUUGAGGGCUGCUCGCCCGAGUGUCCGGGUAGGCUGCUAGAGGGCGUCGGCAACGGCGUCCGUAGAUGGAUGAUCGUCGCUUCUAUGCUGGUAACGGCGUAGUAAGACAGAACCCGGCGUACAGGUUGCCCCAUCCG
rnacentral:RNase_P_RNA from 22 species